rnacentral:rRNA from 1 species
UACGUAGGGGGCAAGCGUUGUCCGGAAUCAUUGGGCGUAAAGCGCGUGUAGGCGGUUCGAUAAGUCUGCUGUGAAAGUCCAGGGCUCAACCCUGGGAUGCCGGUGGAUACUGUCGGACUAGAGUACGGAAGAGGCGAGUGGAAUUCCCGGUGUAGCGGUGAAAUGCGCAGAUAUCGGGAGGAACACCAAUUGCGAAGGCAGCUCGCUGGGACGUUACUGACGCUGAGGCACGAAAGCGUGGGGAGCAAACAGG